rnacentral:rRNA from 1 species
UACGUAGGGACCAAGCGUUGUCCGGAAUCAUUGGGCGUAAAGCGCGCGUAGGUGGCUUCGUAAGUCCGUUGUGAAAGUCAAAGGCUCAACCUUUGAAAGCCGAUGGAUACUGCGGAGCUAGAGUACGGAAGAGGCGAGUGGAAUUCCUGGUGUAGCGGUGAAAUGCGUAGAUAUCAGGAGGAACACCUGCGGUGUAGACGGCUUUCUGGACCAUUGCUGACGCUGAGACACGAAAGCGUGGGUAGCAAACAGG